GCAGGGAAGAGCAUUCCUGGCCGAGGGAACAGCCAGUGCCAAGACCCAAAAGAGCGCCGGACCGCUUAGGGAACGGCAAGGAGGCAGAGGAGCAGAUGAGAAUUGUUUUGUUUUCCAUCUUGGCUGCCUCCAAAUUUUGCUGACCAAGUGCAAAGCCCAGGUUUCUUAACAAGCCAAGGCUCUACGACCAGGGCACAACAAUCCAUACCUUGCUUGAAGGAAACAGCUGGAGGUCAAGAACUCUCACUACUACUGGAAAUUCAUGUGGCUGAGGGAUGGAACAGAAGAGAGCUUUUGGAUAAGGAUAAAAGAAAAGGAAAAAUGGUUUUGGUGACCCAGGGAUCAGGAAUGAUGCCUCCCUGAUACAGGUGGUAACAGAAUGGCCAGAGAAGUGAGAUGGAGAAUUCCAACUGGUCAGCCCUCUGCUGGAAGUCACAUCCAUGAAAAGACAGUUAUCUGAAAACCUAUUCUUGCUUGGCUUACCAUUUCAUUGCCGAGAAACUGGAAACCUGUCCUGGGCCCAGGAGAACACUGUGCUCCGAAUUCCUGGUGACAUUUUAAGAACGGGGGAUGCUAUUCAGCCUGCCCAGUGAUCUGGUGCUUCUAGUGUUGCACGGAUGACACACCACAGGAUUUCCUCAACUGCGCC
rnacentral:lncRNA from 1 species